GUAACAGGUCUUCGGACGCUGACGAGUGGCGAACGGGUGAGUAAUACAUCGGAACGUGCCCAGUCGUGGGGGAUAACUACUCGAAAGAGUAGCUAAUACCGCAUACGAUCUGAGGAUGAAAGCGGGGGACCUUCGGGCCUCGCGCGAUUGGAGCGGCCGAUGGCAGAUUAGGUAGUUGGUGGGAUAAAAGCUUACCAAGCCGACGAUCUGUAGCUGGUCUGAGAGGACGACCAGCCACACUGGGGCUGAGACACGGCCCAGACUCCUACGGGAGGCAGCAGUGGGGAAUUUUGGACAAUGGGCGAAAGCCUGAUCCAGCAAUGCCGCGUGCAGGAUGAAGGCCUUCGGGUUGUAAACUGCUUUUGUACGGAACGAAAAAGCUUCUCCUAAUACGAGAGGCCCAUGACGGUACCGUAAGAAUAAGCACCGGCUAACUACGUGCCAGCAGCCGCGGUAAUACGUAGGGUGCGAGCGUUAAUCGGAAUUACUGGGCGUAAAGCGUGCGCAGGCGGUUAUGUAAGACAGAUGUGAAAUCCCCGGGCUCAACCUGGGAACUGCAUUUGUGGCUGCAUGGCUAGAGUACGGUAGAGGGGGAUGGAAUUCCGCGUGUAGCAGUGAAAUGCGUAGAUAUGCGGAGGAACACCGAUGGCGAAGGCAAUCCCCUGGACCUGUACUGACGCUCAUGCACGAAAGCGUGGGGAGCAAA
rnacentral:rRNA from 1 species